CGCAAGCCUGACGGAGCAAGACCGCGGGCGGGAUGACGGCCUAAUGGUUGUAAACCGCUUUUCUCUGGGAAGAUGAUGACGGUACCAGAGGAAUCAGCCUCGGCUAACUCCGUGCCAGCAGCCGCGGUAAUACGGAGGAGGCAAGCGUUAUCCGGAAUUAUUGGGCGUAAAGCGUCCGUAGGUGGUUAUUCAAGUCUGCUGUCAAAGCGUGGGGCUUAACUCCAUAGAGGCAGUGGAAACUGGAUGACUUGAGUGCGGUAGGGGUCGAGGGAAUUCCCAGUGUAGCGGUGAAAUGCGUAGAUAUUGGGAAGAACACCAGUGGCGAAAGCGCUCGACUGGGCCUGCACUGACACUGAGGGACGAAAGCUAGGGGAGCG
rnacentral:rRNA from 1 species